GUUGGGAUAGCUCAGUUGGUAGAGCAGAGGACUGAAA
rnacentral:tRNA from 1 species